UUUGAUCCUNGCUCAGGAUGAACGCUGGCGGCGUGCCUAAUACAUGCAAGUCGAGCGAAUGGAUUAAGAGCUUGCUCUUAUGAAGUUAGCGGCGGACGGGUGAGUAACACGUGGGUAACCUGCCCAUAAGACUGGGAUAACUCCGGGAAACCGGGGCUAAUACCGGAUAACAUUUUGAACUGCAUGGUUCGAAAUUGAAAGGCGGCUUCGGCUGUCACUUAUGGAUGGACCCGCGUCGCAUUAGCUAGUUGGUGAGGUAACGGCUCACCAAGGCAACGAUGCGUAGCCGACCUGAGAGGGUGAUCGGCCACACUGGGACUGAGACACGGCCCAGACUCCUACGGGAGGCAGCAGUAGGGAAUCUUCCGCAAUGGACGAAAGUCUGACGGAGCAACGCCGCGUGAGUGAUGAAGGCUUUCGGGUCGUAAAACUCUGUUGUUAGGGAAGAACAAGUGCUAGUUGAAUAAGCUGGCACCUUGACGGUACCUAACCAGAAAGCCACGGCUAACUACGUGCCAGCAGCCGCGGUAAUACGUAGGUGGCAAGCGUUAUCCGGAAUUAUUGGGCGUAAAGCGCGCGCAGGUGGUUUCUUAAGUCUGAUGUGAAAGCCCACGGCUCAACCGUGGAGGGUCAUUGGAAACUGGGAGACUUGAGUGCAGAAGAGGAAAGUGGAAUUCCAUGUGUAGCGGUGAAAUGCGUAGAGAUAUGGAGGAACACCAGUGGCGAAGGCGACUUU
rnacentral:rRNA from 1 species